UNGGAAUUACUGGGCGUAAAGCGGGCGCAGACGGUUACUUAAGCAGGAUGUGAANUCCCCGGGCUCAACCUGGGAACUGCGUUNUGAACUGGGUGACUAGAGUGUGUCAGAGGGAGGUAGAAUUCCACGUGUAGCAGUGAAAUGCGUAGAGAUGUGGAGGAAUACCGAUGGCGAAGGCAGCCUCCUGGGAUAACACUGACGUUCAUGCCCGAAAGCGUGGGUAGCAAACAGGAUUAGAUACCCUGGUAGUCCACGCCCUAAACGAUGUCGAUUAGCUGUUGGGCAGCAUGACUGCUUAGUAGCGAAGCUAACGCGUGAAAUCGACCGCCUGGGGAGUACGGUCGCAAGAUUAAAACUCAAAGGAAUUGACGGGGACCCGCACAAGCGGUGGAUGAUGUGGAUUAAUUCGAUGCAACGCGAAGAACCUUACCUGGUCUUGACAUGUACGGAACCCUCCAGAGACGGAGGAGUGCCUUCGGGAGCCGUAACACAGGUGCUGCAUGGCUGUCGUCAGCUCGUGUCGUGAGAUGUUGGGUUAAGUCCCGCAACGAGCGCAACCCUUGUCAUUAGUUGCCAUCAUUAAGUUGGGCACUCUAAUGAGACUGCCGGUGACAAGCCGGAGGAAGGUGGGGAUGACGUCAAGUCCUCAUGGCCCUUAUGACCAGGGCUUCACACGUCAUACAAUGGUCGGUACAGAGGGUAGCCAAGCCGCGAGGCGGAGCCAAUCUCACAAAACCGAUNGUAGUCCGGAUUGCACUCUGCAACUCGAGUGCAUGAAGUCGGAAUCGCUAGUAAUCGCAGGUCAGCAUANUGCGGUGAAUACGUUCCCGGGUCUUGUACACACCGCCCGUCACACCAUGGGAGUGGGGGAUACCAGAAGUAGGUAGGGUAACCGCAAGGAGCCCNC
rnacentral:rRNA from 1 species